rnacentral:rRNA from 1 species
AGGCAGCAGUAAGGAAUAUUGGUCAAUGGACGCAAGUCUGAACCAGCCAUGCCGCGUGAAGGAUGACGGCCCUCUGGGUUGUAAACUUCUUUUAUCUGGGACGAAAAACGGACUUUCUAGUUCACUUGACGGUACCAGAGGAAUAAGCACCGGCUAACUCCGUGCCAGCAGCCGCGGUAAUACGGAGGGUGCAAGCGUUAUCCGGAUUUACUGGGUUUAAAGGGUGCGUAGGUGGGUAGGUAAGUCAGUGGUGAAAUCUUCAAGCUUAACUUGGAAACUGCCAUUGAUACUAUUUAUCUUGAAUUAUCUGGAGGUAAGCGGAAUAUGUCAUGUAGCGGUGAAAUGCUUAGAUAUGACAUAGAACACCCAUUGCGAAGGCAGCUUACUACGGAUAUAUUGACACUGAGGCACGAAAGCGUGGGGAUCAAACAGGAUUAGAUACCCUGGUAG